rnacentral:rRNA from 1 species
AUUGAACGCUGGCGGCAGGCCUAACACAUGCAAGUCGAGCGGGGUUUUCGGACCUAGCGGCGGACGGGUGAGUAAUGCGUAGGAAGCUGCCCGAUAGAGGGGGAUACCAGUUGGAAACGACUGUUAAUACCGCAUAAUGUCUACGGACCAAAGUGUGGGACCUUCGGGCCACAUGCUAUCGGAUGCGCCUACGUGGGAUUAGCUAGUUGGUGAGGUAAUGGCUCACCAAGGCGACGAUCUCUAGCUGGUUUGAGAGGAUGAUCAGCCACACUGGAACUGAGACACGGUCCAGACUCCUACGGGAGGCAGCAGUGGGGAAUAUUGGACAAUGGGCGCAAGCCUGAUCCAGCCAUGCCGCGUGUGUGAAGAAGGCCUUCGGGUUGUAAAGCACUUUCAGUAAGGAGGAAGCGUUGAGUGUUAAUAGUACUCAGCGUUGACGUUACUUACAGAAGAAGCACCGGCUAACUCUGUGCCAGCAGCCGCGGUAA